GUGCAGAACACUGUUUGACCCUAUCUAUACAGAUACAUUUAAGUGAACCCAUUGCUCUUACCGAGACUAUUCUCUCUUUUGCGCUUUCAAAUGCUCGUUCUGUUGGUAUUUUAUUGUUGAGAAUUCUUAUAUGCGGAUGUCUUUCAUGUGAUCUAAACUUGUAAAAUGCCAUAUUUGUUUAUGCAUCUGAAUGACAAAAAUAAAAA